rfam:Triticum aestivum genome assembly, contig: Triticum_aestivum_CS42_TGACv1_scaffold_211991_3AS
GUCAGGAUAGCUCAGUUGGUAGAGCAACGGGCUAAAAGUCCUGGUGUCACCAGUUCAAAUCUGGUUCCUGUCU